rnacentral:rRNA from 1 species
GAUGAACGCUGGCGGCGUGCUUAACACAUGCAAGUCGAACGGAAAGGCCUCUGCUUGCAGGGGUACUCGAGUGGCGAACGGGUGAGUAACACGUGGGUGAUCUGCCCUGCACUUCGGGAUAAGCCUGGGAAACUGGGUCUAAUACCGGAUAGGACAAUGGUUUGGAUGCUGUUGUGGAAAGUUUUUCGGUGUGGGCUGAGCUCGCGGCCUAUCAGCUUGUUGGUGGGGUAAUGGCCUACCAAGGCGUCGACGGGUAGCCGGCCUGAGAGGGUGUACGGCCACAUUGGAACUGGGAUGCGGCCCACACUCCUGCGGGUGGCAGCAGGGGGGAAUAUUGGACAAUGGGCGCAAGCCUGAUGCAGCGACGCCGCGUGGGGGAUGACGGCCUUCGGGUGGUAAACUCCUUUCGCUAGGGACGAAGCGUUUUUGUGACGGUACCUGGAGAAGAAGCACCGGCUAACUACGUG